CAGUAGCCGCGGUAAUACAGAGGGUGCGAGCGUUAAUCGGAUUUACUGGGCGUAAAGCGUGCGUAGGCGGCUUUUUAAGUCGGAUGUGAAAUCCAUGAGCUUAACUUAGGAAUUGCAUUCGAUACUGGGAAGCUAGAGUAUGGGAGAGGAUGGUAGAAUUCCAGGUGUAGCGGUGAAAUGCGUAGAGAUCUGGAGGAAUACCGAUGGCGAAGGCAGCCAUCUGGCCUAAUACUGACGCUGAGGUACGAAAGCAUGGGGAGCAAACAGGAUUAGAUACCCGUGUAGUCCCUGUCUCUUAUAA
rnacentral:rRNA from 1 species